GAUGAAGAACGUAGCGAAAUGCGAUAAGUAAUGCGAAUUGCAGAAUUCCAGUGAAUCAUCGAAUCUUUGAACGCACAUUGCGCCCUCUGGUAUUCCGGGGGGCAUGCCUGUUCGAGCGUCAUUAUAACCACUCAAGCUCUCGCUUGGUAUUGGAGUUCGCGAUCUCGCGGCUCCUAAAAUCAGUGGCGGUGCCUGUCGGCUCUACGCAUAGUAAUACUCCUCGCGAUUGAGUCCGGUAGGUUUACUUGACAGCAACCCCCAAUUUUUACAGGUUGACCUCGGAUCAGGUAGGGAUACCCGCUGAACUUAAGCAUAUCAAUAAGCGGAGGA
rnacentral:misc_RNA from 1 species